rfam:Glycine soja cultivar W05 scaffold3489_1, whole genome shotgun sequence.
UUCUUAUUGGAUGAUAACUGUCACGUGUCAUGUUCGGAUUGGUCAAUGAAAACAAUUGAGGCAGUUAUCAUCCAAUAAGAACAUGACACGUGGCAAUUAUCAUCC